UACAGAGGUCUCAAGCGUUGUUCGGAUUCAUUGGGCGUAAAGGGUGCGUAGGUGGCGUGGUAAGUCGGGUGUGAAAUUUCGGAGCUUAACUCCGAAACUGCAUUCGAUACUGCUGUGCUUGAGGACUGGAGAGGAGACUGGAAUUUACGGUGUAGCAGUGAAAAUGCGUAGAGAUCGUAAGGAAGACCAGUGGCGAAGGCGGGUCUCUGGACAGUUCCUGACACUGAGGCACGAAGGCCAGGGGAGCAAACGGG
rnacentral:rRNA from 1 species